rnacentral:rRNA from 1 species
GAGCGACCCCAGGUCAGGC